GACGAACGCUGUCGGCGUGCUUAACACAUGCAAGUCGAACGGAAAGGCCCUGCUUUUGUGGGGUGCUCGAGUGGCGAACGGGUGAGCAACACGUGAGUAACCUGCCCUUGACUUUGGGAUAACUUCAGGAAACUGGGGCUAAUACCGGAUAGGAGCUCCUGCUGCAUGGUGGGGGUUGGAAAGUUUCGGCGGUUGGGGAUGGACUCGCGGCUUAUCAGCUUGUUGGUGGGGUAGUGGCUUACCAAGGCUUUGACGGGUAGCCGGCCUGAGAGGGUGACCGGCCACAUUGGGACUGAGAUACGGCCCAGACUCCUACGGGAGGCAGCAGUGGGGAAUAUUGCACAAUGGGCGGAAGCCUGAUGCAGCAACGCCGCGUGCGGGAUGACGGCCUUCGGGUUGUAAACCGCUUUCGCCUGUGACGAAGCGUGAGUGACGGUAAUGGGUAAAGAAGCACCGGCUAACUACGUGCCAGCAGCCGCGGUGAUACGUAGGGUGCGAGCGUUGUCCGGAUUUAUUGGGCGUAAAGGGCUCGUAGGUGGUUGAUCGCGUCGGAAGUGUAAUCUUGGGGCUUAACCCUGAGCGUGCUUUCGAUACGGGUUGACUUGAGGAAGGUAGGGGAGAAUGGAAUUCCUGGUGGAGCGGUGGAAUGCGCAGAUAUCAGGAGGAACACCAGUGGCGAAGGCGGUUCUCUGGGCCUUUCCUGACGCUGAGGAGCGAAAGCGUGGGGAGCGAACAGGCUUAGAUACCCUGGUAGUCCACGCUGUAAACGGUGGGUACUAGGUGUGGGGUCCAUUCCACGGGUUCCGUGCCGUAGCUAACGCUUUAAGUACCCCGCCUGGGGAGUACGGCCGCAAGGCUAAAACUCAAAGGAAUUGACGGGGCCCCGCACAAGCGGCGGAGCAUGCGGAUUAAUUCGAUGCAACGCGUAGAACCUUACCUGGGUUUGACAUGGAUCGGGAGUGCUCAGAGAUGGGUGUGCCUCUUUUGGGGUCGGUUCACAGGUGGUGCAUGGCUGUCGUCAGCUCGUGUCGUGAGAUGUUGGGUUAAGUCCCGCAACGAGCGCAACCCUUGUUCACUGUUGCCAGCACGUUAUGGUGGGGACUCAGUGGAGACCGCCGGGGUCAACUCGGAGGAAGGUGGGGAUGACGUCAAGUCAUCAUGCCCCUUAUGUCCAGGGCUUCACGCAUGCUACAAUGGCUGGUACAGAGAGUGGCGAGCCUGUGAGGGUGAGCGAAUCUCGGAAAGCCGGUCUCAGUUCGGAUUGGGGUCUGCAACUCGACCUCAUGAAGUCGGAGUCGCUAGUAAUCGCAGAUCAGCAACGCUGCGGUGAAUACGUUCCCGGG
rnacentral:rRNA from 1 species